AGGACUAACGCUGGCGGCGUGCCUAACACAUGCAAGUCGAACGAAGUAGCAAUACUUAGUGGCAGACGGGUGAGUAACACGUAGUCAACCUGCCCUUCAAUGGGGGAUAACUAGCCGAAAGGUUAGCUAAUACCGCAUACGAUCUCUGAGUGGCAUCACUCGGCGAUGAAAGGAGUAAUCCGUUGAAGGAGGGGACUGCGUCCCAUUAGUUAGUUGGUGGGGUAAUGGCCUACCAAGACUCCGAUGGGUAGCUGGCUUGAGAGAGCGACCAGCCACACUGGAACUGAGACACGGUCCAGACUCCUACGGGAGGCAGCAGUGAGGAAUUUUCCGCAAUGGGGGAAACCCUGACGGAGCGACGCCGCGUGUGGGAAGAAGGCCUUCGGGUCGUAAACCACUGUCGAGGGGACGAUAUUGACGGUACCCCGUGGAGGAAGCCCCGGCUAACUACGUGCCAGCAGCCGC
rnacentral:rRNA from 1 species